UAUUCAUCUGCAAAUGUUUUUGUCUUUGCCUUUCUUGACAGGUAUUUUCUCACUGGGUAUACAAUUUUAGGAUUAUUAUUUUCCUCUCAGUUCUUGGAAGAUCGUAUUCCACUCUCCUUUGGUUUCUAAUGUUGCUCUUCAGAAGUCAGCUCUCUGUGAAAUUGUCAAUUCUUUGUAAAUAAUCUUCUAUUUGUUUUUAGUAUCUUUUCUUUGUCUCUGGGGUCCUCUAGCUUUACUAUGAUGUGUGUAGGUAUGAAUUUUCUUUUAGAUUCUUUUUUUUUUUUUUUUUUUUUGAGACAGAGUGUUGCUCUGUCGCCUAGGCUGGAGUGCAGUGGUGCGAUCUCAGCUCAAUUGCAACCUCCAUCUCUUGGGUUCAAGUGAUUCUUGUGCUUCAGUCUCCCAAGUAGCUGGGACUACAGGCACGCAU
rnacentral:lncRNA from 1 species